AGCAGUCGCCGCGGGAAUACAGAGGGUGCGAGCGUUAAUCGGAUUUACUGGGCGUAAAGCGUGCGUAGGCGGCUUCUUAAGUCGGAUGUGAAAUCCCUGAGCUUAACUUAGGAAUUGCAUUCGAUACUGGGAAGCUAGAGUAUGGGAGAGGAUGGUAGAAUUCCAGGUGUAGCGGUGAAAUGCGUAGAGAUCUGGAGGAAUACCGAUGGCGAAGGCAGCCAUCUGGCCUAAUACUGACGCUGUGGUACGAAAGCAUGGGGAGCAAACAGGAUUAGAUACCCGCGUAGUCCCUGUCUCUUAUAC
rnacentral:rRNA from 1 species